rnacentral:rRNA from 1 species
CGUGUAGGCGGCUAGGUAGGUCCGUUGUGAAAACUCGAGGCUCAACCUCGAGACGUCGAUGGAAACCAUCUAGCUAGAGUCCGGAAGAGGAGAGUGGAAUUCCUGGUGUAGCGGUGAAAUGCGCAGAUAUCAGGAAGAACACCGUGGCGAAGGCGGCUCUCUGGUACGUGACUGACGCUGAGACGCGAAAGCGUGGGAGCAAACA